rnacentral:lncRNA from 1 species
GUACCAGGUGCACAAACUCCAAGUACAGUAACUCUUCUUGAGGAAGAAGCCUGAGUGACAAGACAAGAAAAUUAGAGGACAAUGGGAGAAAUUGUACAUAUUGCUAAUUAACAAUUAAACAAUGUAAACACAGCCUGCAUGAUUUACUUAAAAAAGGGCAUACCCAGUGCUGAAAGUCCCCACACGAGGUGGGGCCUGGGGAAGGGAAUUUCUAGACAGCCUUACCCAUACAUAAUAAUUCUCACAUGAAAGAUAAAAUGGAACCCGUAACAUGUGGUGGUGCCGUAAAUGAAGAUGACCAAGUAUCAAACUGUAACCGAAUUAAGCUAUAUCAAAAUUAUACACUAAGUGAUAUAAUCCUUGCCAUCCAUGCUAAUCGAGUUUGCAAAUGUUACAGAUUCCCUUGGGUGCACACGCAAUCCAACAAAAGAAUGCAACACAUAGCCAGAAAUCCAGAAUACGGCAUACCUUCAGACAAGCUAGCAGCUCCAAAUGGUCAAUGCAAGUAUCAGCAAUGUAGCUGUAUCCAUUUAAACAAAUAUUAGAUCUGAAAGAUAUUUGUUGAAUAAAACUUUUAUCAUACUUGGUUGCAUACAUACAAAAUUCACAGGUAACUUGUGUGAGCUAGCAACUUGUAUUCAAUAUGCCAUUGGUUUCAGGGACCUUUGCUAGUAAUGCUAAACCUGUGGGGUAGUGCUUGGUCUGGCUUGUCUGGAAGGAAAUUUGAGGAAGGUAAGAUGUCAUAGUUAAAGUCUUAAAGAUAAUAUAUAAAUUAGUAUCGUCGUCAAAAACAGACAAUCUUUUAACUCUCACUGGGAGAUAUUUUGUGAUUAAAUCAAGAGAAACGAAUUGGGGAAUCCCAAUCCCUUUGUCUCCAGAGUAUUUAAAUACCCUGUUUACAUUCUUCAUAUUCAGAACACAAAAGAGAGGCCAUGUUCUUAUCAUUUAAACUUGACAGGAGCUAAUUCAAAUAUUAGUUGACUUCAAGAAAUAACCAAUUAAUAUAUAAUGAGGAAUAACUCAAAGCAGAUUUCUCAGAAAAAAUACUAAAGUUGGUAUUCCAAUGUUUACUCGAGCAUAGCCAAGCACUGUUUGCAAUCCUAGUCCAACAUGUGCACAUGACUUUGACUAGAGAAUGAGGACCUUCAUUGUGCUGUCUUGAUAAGGUGGAUAGUUAGCACUACUGGAUCUCAAGAAACUCUGUCUAUUGGUCCUCUAAUCAGCCCAACACUAGUUUAAGCCCUAAUUACAAUAUCUCGAUUUACACUCACAUGAGUUCAAAGCUACACCCUCUGUUCACUAAUUCAAAACUGCCAAAACGUCCUACAUUGGUGAACAGAGGUAGUACAACAUAAAAGAAUUCUUACCGAUGGGACAGGGCCGGCAGCGACUGGAAGCAGAGGAGCGUCGGGGCGAGAUGGAGAUGGAGAGGUUACUCGUUAUAGCUGGCCAAACGGGCCGGGAUAGUUGGGCCGGCCCGGUAGCACGGCCGGCACGGCAUGACACGUGCUAAACGGGCCGGGCCCGGCACGCGGCACGCCAUGGGCCGUGCCUGGGCCUGAAGGGCGAGCACGCGGGCCGGCACGGCACGGCCCGAUUAACUUUUUUAUAUUUUUUUAUGUAUUCUAAUAUGGGCCAACAGAUAAAAAUAGGCUAAAAACGCUCAAUGCGCAAAAUAGGAGGUAGAUUAGUGGGCCUGGCGUGCUGGUGGGCCGGCCCGAUUAGCAUACGGGCCGUGCCUGGGCUGCAGGCUGUAGCACACGGGCUGGCACGGCACGGCCCGUAUAAUAAUCGUGCCUAGGCGGGCCGGGCCGGGCCAGGCACGAUUAGGAUGGGCCGUGCCGUGCCGGGCCGGGCCGGCCCGUUUGGCCAGCUAUAUUACUCGUGACAGACUUGAGCCCGUCCAGGGAGAAUGCGUGCAGG